rfam:Agrobacterium albertimagni AOL15 Contig_11, whole genome shotgun sequence.
UGCCGGCUUUCCAUCAGCCGGGGUACUGAAGAGGCACACCAUCAUUGCCGGAAGUGCGGUAGGGUCUCCCUCCAAUCCAUGGCAGACAAAGCGGAUUUAUGCGCUCAGGCAAGAGUGCGUUUAUCCAUCGUUUCGCGCGUCGAGCGUUCGUACGGUAC